GGAGGGGCUCCCCCUUCCCUCUGUCUUCUGUCCUUGCUGACAGACCUGUUUAAAUGUCAGCCAGUCAGGCUCUGGGAUUCAGUAAGACAGCAGGAGUGGUGGGGCCCCCAGGCUGCCUGAGGACAGGUCAAGGCUGGGCGGGGCCUGCCUGCUUUGCAGACCCCAGGGGACCGUGGGGGGAGGCAGUGGGGGUGGCUGAUGCCCAGAGGGAGCAGGAGGGUGAGAAAGCCCAGCUGCGGGGCUGAGUCGGGCUGGCGAGGCUGGCAUGAAGGGCCCUGUGUGCUUAGUGAGCUGUGAAUGGCCCCUGAGGAGUCUGAAAGGCUUAGGAGCACCCCUGCCCCUUCCUUCCUCUCCCUCCUCUUGGAUUAAGCUCCCUUGUCUGUGAAACCAUUGGGAGGUUUUCUGGGCUAAGAUGAGCCACCCUUGACAGAGGCCUGCCUGCUCUCACACCUCCUAGCUCCCAGGGUCGCCGCUCCAUCUGUCUGUCUGUCACUCCUCACCUCCAGGACAGGUUGUGCAGCCUGAGACCCCAACCCCCUUGUCCCUGUGUGCACCCUUCUUGGAGGAACUCUUCGUGCCUUCUGCGUGCUGCUCAUUAAUCGUGUUGGGGGCGUUUUGGAGCCUCUGUGUGGAGUUCUGUAAAUAUGACAGGUUCACACAAGGAAGUGAUUUUGAUUGGGGGAUUGUUGAUUUCCUACAUGUGAAAUGGGAGUUAAGAAAAAUCCAAAGACUCUGUAAUGACCUGUAAAGACUUAAUGAUUUGUAUUGUAUAGUGAACUAAAUGUCUGUAAUUUUGUACCUUAUAUGCCUUCCCACCAUAUGACCAACAGCCUCUAAAUAAAACCAGAUGAUCUCCUGCAUACGUCUGUGGUCCUCCUGGUGCUUUCCCCUCUCCCCACCAAGGCAGGGGUGUUUGAGCUCAUUCCAGACUGUCCCCCAGGGGCUGGGGUGGCCUGGUUCUGAGUGAUGGGGCGGGGCUUUUCAGCAUGGAGACUGGAAGAGGGGAGGCUCAGGGCAGGAGCAGGUCCCCUGAGCACACACCCCCGGGCCCGGCAGUCUUUGUCACGUAUGUGGUUUUGUGGCGGGUCAGUUGAGAUAUCUUUCAGGAGCCAAGGACCAACAGAAACUUCCUGAGCUUCUGGGCUAACUCAGUGGAAGGCCACUUUUCUGGAGCAGGCAUGUCGCGGCUCUGGGCCUCGGCUUCCAUGUCCCCCUGGAUCUGCGUGCCGUGCCCCAUGUCAGACGCCGCAGUCAGGGAGCAGGGCUUCCUUGCACUGCCGCACAGGUUGUGGAAACUGAUGGCAAAAGUUUGGGGUCCUGCUUGCCUCAAGCCAGCAUCCUCAGGACGUGGCACCCAGCGAGGACCCAAACAGCACUGGGGAGGGGAGCAGGCCUUCUGAGGUGGCCCCAGGGUCCCACCCUCCCUGCGAGGACGUGGUCAGCCCAGCAUGCUGGUGGCCCCACAUCGGUGAGUCACUCUGCCAGCACCUUGCCUGAGAUAAAAUGUACUUGCAAAUGUAAGGACCACAGCUGCCAGGAGGGCUGAUGGGGAGGUGGCC
ensembl:lncRNA